rnacentral:rRNA from 1 species
GACGAACCGUGCGAACGUUAUUCGGAAUCACUGGGCUUAAAGCGCGUGUAGGCGGGAGGGCACGCCCGUCGCUGAAAUCCCCCGGCUCAACCGGGGAACGGGCGCGGAUACGACCUUCCUUGAGGGGCGUAGGGGGACCUGGAACUUCCGGUGGAGCGGUGAAAUGCGUUGAGAUCGGAAGGAACGCCCGUGGCGAAAGCGAGGUCCUGGACGCCUACUGACGCUGAGACGCGAAAGCGUGGGGAGCGAACAGG